GGUAGCGUGGCCGAGUUGGUCUAAGGCGUUGGAUUUAAGAGUUGGGUAUCUUCCCAGUCUUGCUUCCCAAUGAAGGUGACUUCGCGCGAGUUCGAGUCUCGCCGCUACCA
rfam:Lentinula edodes NBRC 111202 DNA, contig: scaffold244.